UAGGGAAUCUUCCACAAUGGGCGCAAGCCUGAUGGAGCAACGCCGCGUGAGUGAAGAAGGUUUUCGGAUCGUAAAGCUCUGUUGUAAGAGAAGAACGUGUGUGAGAGUGGAAAGUUCACACAGUGACGGUAACUUACCAGAAAGGGACGGCUAACUACGUGCCGG
rnacentral:rRNA from 1 species